AGAGUUUGAUCAUGGCUCAGGAUGAACGCUAGCGGCAGGCCUAACACAUGCAAGUCGAGGGGUAGAAGGAGCUUGCUCCUUUGAGACCGGCGCACGGGUGCGUAACGCGUAUGCAAUCUACCUUUUACAGGGGGAUAGCCCAGAGAAAUUUGGAUUAAUACCUCAUAGUAUAUUGAAAUGGCAUCAUUUUAAUAUUAAAGUUCCAACGGUAAAAGAUGAGCAUGCGUCCCAUUAGUUAGUUGGUAAGGUAACGGCUUACCAAGACAAUGAUGGGUAGGGGUCCUGAGAGGGAGAUCCCCCACACUGGUACUGAGACACGGACCAGACUCCUACGGGAGGCAGCAGUGAGGAAUAUUGGGCAAUGGAGGCAACUCUGACCCAGCCAUGCCGCGUGCAGGAAGACGGUCCUAUGGAUUGUAAACUGCUUUUAUACGGGAAGAAACACCACUACGUGUAGUGACUUGACGGUACCGUAAGAAUAAGGAUCGGCUAACUCCGUGCCAGCAGCCGCGGUAAUACGGAGGAUCCAAGCGUUAUCCGGAAUCAUUGGGUUUAAAGGGUCCGUAGGCGGCCUUAUAAGUCAGUGGUGAAAUCUCCUAGCUCAACUAGGAAACUGCCAUUGAUACUGUAGGGCUUGAAUUAUUAGGAAGUAACUAGAAUAUGUAGUGUAGCGGUGAAAUGCUUAGAUAUUACAUGGAAUACCAAUUGCGAAGGCAGGUUACUACUAAUGGAUUGACGCUGAUGGACGAAAGCGUGGGGAGCGAACAGGAUUAGAUACCCUGGUAGUCCACGCCGUAAACGAUGGAUACUAGCUGUUGGGAGCAAUCUCAGUGGCUAAGCGAAAGUGAU
rnacentral:rRNA from 1 species